rnacentral:lncRNA from 1 species
UAAACCAAUUUUAUUAAAAUAUAAAAUACUAAUGAUAUUUCUUAAUAAGAUCCUAUUGCAACACAUGGUCCUGUAAAUACUUCCAGAUCGAUAUAUGUGGCAAAAUAAGUAUGAACGAACUACUGAAAUCAUCCUAUGGUACGUACAGCAUAUGGUACUAACCUGCAUCUACUUCACACAGACACAGGAACACAAGAGUUCUAUACAAAUGUUGUACGUAACCAGGAAUAACACGAGAGUUUAAUUUGCACGUACCUUAAUUUAUCUUUGAGGAUCAGAGCAAGUAGGCCAACAAAGCACAAAGAUUAUAGCUUUUCUUUGUCAAACAUGAGACGCACGUAUGUGCCAACAUACAAUCAUUGAGAUUUCGUGAUGCACGCACU